GACGAACGCUGGCGGCGUGCUUAACACAUGCAAGUCGAGCGGUAAGGCCUUUCGGGGUACACGAGCGGCGAACGGGUGAGUAACACGUGGGCGACCUGCCCUCCACUCUGGGAUAAGCCCGGGAAACUGGGUCUAAUACCGGAUAUGACCUCUCAUCGCAUGGUGGGUGGUGGAAAGUUUUUCGGUGGGGGAUGGGCCCGCGGCCUAUCAGCUUGUUGGUGGGGUGAUGGCCUACCAAGGCGACGACGGGUAGCCGGCCUGAGAGGGCGACCGGCCACACUGGGACUGAGACACGGCCCAGACUCCUACGGGAGGCAGCAGUGGGGAAUAUUGCGCAAUGGGCGGAAGCCUGACGCAGCGACGCCGCGUGGGGGAUGACGGCCUUCGGGUUGUAAACCUCUUCCGCCAGGGACGAAGCGUGAGUGACGGUACCUGGAUAAGAAGCACCGGCCAACUACGUGCCAGCAGCCGCAGUAA
rnacentral:rRNA from 1 species